rnacentral:rRNA from 1 species
GGAUGGCGACCGGCGCACGGGUGAGUAACACGUAUCCAACCUGCCGACAACACUGGGAUAGCCUUUCGAAAGAAAGAUUAAUACCGGAUGGCAUAGUUUUCCCGCAUGGGAUAAUUAUUAAAGAAUUUCGGUUGUCGAUGGGGAUGCGUUCCAUUAGGCAGUUGGCGGGGUAACGGCCCACCAAACCAACGAUGGAUAGGGGUUCUGAGAGGAAGGUCCCCCACAUUGGAACUGAGACACGGUCCAAACUCCUACGGGAGGCAGCAGUGAGGAAUAUUGGUCAAUGGACGAGAGUCUGAACCAGCCAAGUAGCGUGAAGGAUGACUGCCCUAUGGGUUGUAAACUUCUUUUAUACGGGAAUAAAGUGAGCCACGUGUGGCUUUUUGUAUGUACCGUAUGAAUAAGGAUCGGCUAACUCCGUGCCAGCAGCCGCGGUAAUACGGAGGAUCCGAGCGUUAUCCGGAUUUAUUGGGUUUAAAGGGAGCGUAGGCGGGUUGUUAAGUCAGUUGUGAAAGUUUGCGGCUCAACCGUAAAAUUGCAGUUGAUACUGGCGACCUUGAGUGCAACAGAGGUAGGCGGAAUUCGUGGUGUAGCGGUGAAAUGCUUAGAUAUCACGAAGAACUCCGAUUGCGAAGGCAGCUUACUGGAUUGUAACUGACGCUGAUGCUCGAAAGUGUGGGUAUCAAACAGGAUUAGAUACCCUGGUAGUCCACACAGUAAACGAUGAAUACUCGCUGUUGGCGAUAUACGGUCAGCGGCCAAGCGAAAGCAUUAAGUAUUCCACCUGGGGAGUACGCCGGCAACGGUGAAACUCAAAGGAAUUGACGGGGGCCCGCACAAGCGGAGGAACAUGUGGUUUAAUUCGAUGAUACGCGAGGAACCUUAC